AUAGUCUCUAGACCAUCUCUGGCUAUACUCUAUCUACCGUACAUCUUCGCUUCGCUUACUCGAUUCAUCCCUUAUUCGCUUUGUAACACCACGUGACUUUCUGAACGUCUUCGGGCAUACACGUCUCGUCCAAAUCCUUUACGAGAAUAAGAUAACACUAUAAUCACUAAACAAUCGAUCGCAUAUACAUCUCACGUAUAUCAAUACCCACUUAUAUAUCCCUUUAAACUUAUCAGAUACCACGUAACACAUAAGCAUGCUUUAACUCUAACAUAUAGUCAAUCAUAUUCCACAUAACAUAUCACCAAUCAAUUAUCAUAUAAAUCCUUAUCGAAAAUCCGACAUCGUCUCGUCUAUGUAUAAGACUAUCCACCUAUUAUCUUAUCCCAAUCAUUAAUCAACCAACAAAAUCCAAUAGCUAUAAUCCAUAUAUUCUUAUCCAAUAUCAAUCAUACGAAUCAUUUAUCACUUCACAAUAUCAAAACUAACACGUACUUCACAUAAUCAUCACCUGAUAGCACUUAGAUAACAUAUUAUCACAUUAUGCAUACUUAUCAACAAUUAUUCACCUUAUAGACUCAGCCAUAUAGUCACAUCAUAUUAAAAUAGACGUUAUAAGCUUCUGUCUCUCUUUCGUUUCACUUGAUUCCGACUUACGGAUCAAAAGUUAUGCUCAAAACAGUUUUCUCACUCUCCUAUCGGCACAUAACACAUCCAACCAAUAGCAGACAACACACAACACAUAAGGUUUCCCAUCCCAAUUGAUAUUAAAUCAAGUCUUGGGUUAAAAAUGAUUUUUCGGGAAUUUUCUGGAAUUUUUAAACAUUUUUCGGAAUUAAAAUCGAUAAAAGAAUCACUUUUCGGAUAAAUAAUCAAGUCCCAAAUACUUGAAAUUGGACUUGAAAUCAUUCAUAAACAAUUAUCGAGCCUUGAAAAUAAUUUGGAAAAAUAUUUUAAAGCUCGAAACUAUUUUUCGGAAUUUUUAAAUCAAAAAGGAUUAAUUAAAUCCAAUUAAUUAAUCAAUUAAAAUCAAUUAAUAAUUAAUUAAAAUAAUUAAUCAAUUAAUAUUUAAAUUAAUUGACCAAUUAAAAUAAUUAAUUACUAAUUAAAAUUAAUUAACAAACUAAUUUAGAUUUAUUUUUGAAUAAAAGAAUUAUUAAAAACUAUUUUUGAAAUUAAAAUAAUUAAAUAAAACAAUUUUAGAAAAUUAAACCAGAAAGGUUUGUUUUGUAAACUUUCAAAACUUUGUCGCAAGGUUUAAACUGCAAUUUUUCAAAGUUACAGGGGUUGAAUCGUUAAAACCGAAACUAUAGUACCCAAUCUUCAUCAUCUUCAAAAGAUGGGUGACCAAACGGCAAUUUGCCGCCGGCCACCACUGGUUUCGCCGGAAUCGGCGUUACAGACCUUUGUUCGCCACCAACUUGUCCAGAUCACCUCUCUAGCCCGCCAGGAAUCUUACCAUGCCCAUGAAUCAGCCAGAAUCCAAGCCGUUUGGCCGGAUUUUUGGCGACAAAAUCGCGCCGCCGCCAUUCUUUUUCAGAACCCGACGAGAUAUUCACAGCCCCAACACCACAUAUAAUCAUAUACACAUAUUCUACUCAUCACCAGGAACGUUUUUAUAGCUUUAACGUCUACCCAAGUUAAGCCGAAGUGAUUCUCCGGCAAGAAUUCAAAGUUUUCCGGCCAAUACUCAAGAACACUCAAGAACAUCCUUUCAAGAAUCAAACAACAUUUUCUAUAUGUUUCCGAACUCGAAAUUCAACAUAUAAUAUACCAAAACGACGAGAAAAACACGUACUACAACAUGGAAUCAUCAAAACAACCAAACAAUCACGUUUGCAAAAAUUCAUAAUUAAAAUCAUAAUAAUUCGAAUUUUGUAAAAAUCAUGUAAAAUCACCUGAUGAAUCUGCAGCGUUAUAGUUGAUUAUACUAUAUUCUACGCGUCGAGAGCUUCGUUUUGACUAUUCAUACGCCUCCAUCGGAUUCCAAUAACACCUUCAAAACCUUGUUUGAUUACGAAGAACACGAAGAACAAAGUUUGGUUUCUCUCGGUAUUCGUGCAGAGAAACUGGUGAAAAUGAUUUUACGGGUGAAAAUAAGCUCUAGAAAGGUCUAUUUAUAUUUACAAAUAAUUGGUACCCCUUUGGAUCGUUUAUGACAUGAAAGUACGUAUUUAGUAGCUUUAUAUUAAUAAAGCAGGGUCCAAUCGGUACUGGUUUUCAAGAUAAUCAUCAAAACGGGGCUUUUUAAUCAGUCAUUAGUAUGCGGGUCCCACUGCAAUUAUUACAAGAUAAGGAUGAAUCAAAAUAUCUAGUUUCACGUUUAUCGAGACAACCAGAUAAUUAUCAACAAUUAAAAUACCCGAAAAACUCCGCCGGACCGACUACGGGGAAAACCGUACUCCGGAUCGAAAAAGUCAAAACACGAAAAAUGUCCGGAAUAUUCAAAUUAGGCUAAAGGUGAGUUUUCUCGAAACUUUCGGAAAUAAAAUCGUUGCUCCGUCACGAGUGGACGGUUUCCAAAAAGAUCAAAUAAUUAAUAAAUAAAUACAAAUAUACGCAAUUAAAUCUGUAAAUCGAUUAUAAAAUCAUCUAACAUUCCAUAAAUCGAUACAAAAUAUCCAAAUAAACUACAUUUUAUCCUGAUCAUAUAGAAAUUGAAAUAUCUCAAAUCCGAGCACAUAUGAGCGGUCAAUUAAAUAAACCAGAUAGUACAAUAUUCACAAAAAUUCAUGUAUUAAUCAUAUAAUAUCCGUUAUUAACCACAAUUAAUUAACAAUCAAUUCCACCAACACCACUUAAUCACAUAACACGUAUAUUCACAGAAUAUUCAUACAGAAUUUUCAAAACAAUAUUUGAAAAUCAGUUUUGAAAAUACCAUUAUUUAUAAAUAACACAAUAACCCGGGGUUUAAAUAUAAAACUUUGAAAACUCAUUAAACUGGAAUAAAAUAUUAAAUCUUAUUCCUUUCUUUUUUUUAAGAAAAUCAUUUAUAAUAUUAAUAAAAAUAUUUAAAAGUCCGGGUCACUACAAUCUACCCUCCUUAUAGGGAUUCCGUCCUCGGAAUCAGAGAAAGAAGGAGGACGCAGAAUCUGUAAAAUCCAUAUUAAUCCACAUAACAAGUAUAAUCAUAUAAAACUAUUCACAUAAUCAAUUCACUUUUCAACUAAAGCCAGCAAUAAUAUCUAGACAAAUAAAUUUAUAAUAAUCAAAUCUGAAUUUAAAAAUAUGGGAUAUUACAUUCUACCGCCCUUAUAAGGAUUCCGUCCUCGGAAUCCCCCGAAGAAAACUAAAACGUACACGCUUCGUAAUAUCAUAUCGUCAUCCACCUUUUGAUCAACCUUUGCAUACCUUCAACUUUAAAGAAAUAGGAGAAUCAAACUUUCACAAUUACCAAAUUCGUUUCCCAAGAAUCAAUCUUUGGGAAUUUUGGAGGAACGAGAUGUUUUCAAGAUAGGUCACAUUGGAAUAUAAAAGUGACUGGGAGAUCAAUAAGAUCAAUUGAACUUAAUGUUGCGUGUCCAUAUUAGACACUACUAAAGGUUGUUAACCUUCUUGUAAUCACAACACACACAAGUGAUGGCGUCCCAUCCAACUCCUAUCACACAGACAGGUAUACCUUGUGUCCCCUAUACAUAGGGUUGUUCAUCCCAAUCAGAUGGAAAGAAUCCAAGAAAUCUCAAGGAGCAUCAAAGAAUGUUAAGGAUUAUCGAGGAAUAUAUUAAGGAACAUCAAAAGAUAUCAACGAAUAUCCAAGAAUGUCAAAGAAUAUCAACGAAUAUUAAGGGAUAUCAAAGAAUAUGGAAGAAUAUCAAGGGGUAUCAAAUAAUAUCAAGGAAUUCCAAUGUCUCUUCAUAAACACGCCUUUAUCAUACACCGAUUCAAUACUAACUCACACCAAUAAUCAAUAUCAUUAUCAUCUUAGAAUUUGAGAAAUUAAAGAUCUCAUUUAUCAAAACUUUUGUAGAAAAGAUAUCAUGAUAAUAUCUCACUGAUGAGAAAACAAUCAAAAGAAUCUUUAGUUGAAGAGAGGUAUUGCCAAGGUCUUCUCAGAUUUUCGCUCUGCUUCAAUAAAUCAUUGUUCGAUAUAUAUCUUCUUUUCAACGUUCUCGAUAAUCGAUCGAUGUUGACUCGUAAUAACCUUGUAAAAUUUCAUCGUCGACAUUAUCGUUCGUAAUAACUCUCGCCCAUGUAGUCUUCGUUUUUUUUCUAUUUCAUUCCAUCUGCCUUUGAAGUCCAUAGCACAACACGUAGCAUAUCUUCGAUUAUCUGGAUCAUCAACCUGUGGGUUAUGGGCCCACCUUGAUGCCAGUUGAAAUCCCGAUUAGCUCAAAGCGUUGUCGUCGAGGACUAACGUUCUAACUUACUCGUAGACAUCAUCUCUAAUAAUUGGACUCAAUUCCACAUAUUCUCUAUCAUUCACUUCUCACCUAUCAACCUCUAUCUACCAAUCUCUCCUUCUAAUCCAAUACAACUCAUACUCUACACUUACUCUUCAUAUCUUCACUCAAAACAAUAUACAUCUUCCAAAUAUCUGACAUGGUCAACAUACUAUGAACCAUGCAUUUAUAUCAUCCUCAAAUCAAUACAAUAAUCCAAUUUCAAAUAUGCAGUAUAGUCAGAAUACUCUGAACUCUGCAUUUUCACCAUUCUCAACUCAAUCAUUCACUAUCAAACUCUUCUAUAUAGGUCUAAUACUGACCUUUUCCACAAUUCACCAUCUCAAUUAAUCAACAUACUAGAAAUCAUAUGUCUAAACUUAAGAAUCCUAAUCUCUUUAAAUACCCACACUUAACUUGAUCAUCUAACUAAACUCUAUGCUUCACUCACAUCUCUAGACUAUUCCUAAAUAGUCCGACCAUACCUCUAUGUGAGGUUACACCACCUUCUUCUCUAGAAAACCUAUAACUAUAAUCUAUAUUCUAAUUUCAAAUACUUAUAACCUGUUGCUCUGAUACCAACUGUGACAGUCCAGGAAUCCGGGGGCCUGGAUUCUGACGUCACCACAUAAAACCCAUUUUUAAACACUUUUGAAAACCUGUAUUUAUUUAUUUAUUUAUUUAUUUAUUUUUUAAAAGAUAAUGAAUCCAAAUAAUUUAAAACUUGAAAACAUUUAAUAAAAGAUUUGAAAGAGAACACAAAUCAAAUGAUUUCAAAACCUGAAUUUCAAACUUGAAAGCCAUAAUAAGAGAAUUUCAAGAGAACAUUUAAACUUUAAUAAAUGAUUCGAAAGAGAACAUUUAAACCCCCUAAAACAACAGGAUCGCAUCCAGGUUACAGUAUUGAAAUUAGAAUCAACCACUAUUAUUACACAACAUCUCUUACCAAAUCAGAUCAUCUUCGAUAAGAAGAAUCACUGUCAACUAUUCCAGCUUGCACCAACCUCAUCAACUUUCCUGAACACUCCUCGACCACUGGAUCCUCAACUCUGUCUCCUCGCCUAGCAUUAGCCUUACUCACAAUCUCAAUCAAUCAUCUCAUCUUUAAGCCUUUCUGAAAUGGUUAGAAAGGAAUAGCAAGGGUGAGCAACAAUGCUCAGCAAGUAAUAAUAAACAAUGAUAGUUCUGAAAUGAUAUAAUAGAAGUUCACGAGUUCAAGAUAUAAGAGGAUUCAACCUGAGUUCAUGAGUUCAUGGUAUUGUAUAGAAUGAUUUACAAUACCUUGCAGCAUUUAAACUGAGAAAUUCAAUCUUUCCAAAGAAUUAUUGAAUUGGACUAUCACAUUUUAAUUAAAACCAAGGUUAGGCAGCUGAUCAGUUCCGCACUAACCCCGAGCAGGCCCCGCCAUGCUCUAUCACUGGAUCCAAGGCACUCAUUGGCCUAACAUGACCACGAAUCUGGUCCACAGGUUUAUAUAAAAACAAUAAUCCAAUUCUCUAAUUCAAUUCAAGAAGCCAAUGUAAAUUAACAGAACAUCAUCAUAAAUAUCAUCAACAACAGAAUAAUUCCAAUUCAAACUUUGAUAAUAAUCUAUUCAUAAAUCAUGAUCCAUCAUUUCAUAAAUCACAGUUCAGGAAAUCCUCAACUAUUCAGUAUCCUCCAUUAUCGGCUAAGCAACUGAAUUUAGCCUGCUAAACCAGCAUGACAAUGGCGGGUUGAAUAAUCAAGAAGAUCCCAAUUCAUUCAAAGCUCUAACUAUCACUGAGCAACACAUGCUUCAAUGACAAUCUGAACUUCGAAUUAAUUUGUAAAACGGAAAUUCUUUAGAAACUUGAAGAUUAGAAAGAAUGGGUCAGAAUACUCGCACUUUCGAACAUUGAAAAGAAAGGUAUGAAUACUUGAAACAUAUACCAAAGGAAUGGAUCAGAAUAUUUGCAAUAUAUCCAAGAGAAAGGUUUAGGAUACUUGCCUUAAAUCUGACUCCAGUCUCACAUCUCAAUCUCAUCUUUCCACUUUCACAAUCUAUGCAUCUCAUAGUCUCUAGACCAUCUCUGGCUAUACUCUAUCUACCGUACAUCUUCGCUUCGCUUACUCGAUUCAUCCCUUAUUCGCUUUGUAACACCACGUGACUUUCUGAACGUCUUCGGGCAUACACGUCUCGUCCAAAUCCUUUACGAGAAUAAGAUAACACUAUAAUCACUAAACAAUCGAUCGCAUAUACAUCUCACGUAUAUCAAUACCCACUUAUAUAUCCCUUUAAACUUAUCAGAUACCACGUAACACAUAAGCAUGCUUUAACUCUAACAUAUAGUCAAUCAUAUUCCACAUAACAUAUCACCAAUCAAUUAUCAUAUAAAUCCUUAUCGAAAAUCCGACAUCGUCUCGUCUAUGUAUAAGACUAUCCACCUAUUAUCCUAUCUCAAUCAUUAAUCAACCAACAAAAUCCAAUAGCUAUAAUCCAUAUAUUCUUAUCCAAUAUCAAUCAUACGAAUCAUUUAUCACUUCACAAUAUCAAAACUAACACGUACUUCACAUAAUCAUCACCUGAUAGCACUUAGAUCACAUAUUAUCACAUUAUGCAUACUUAUCAACAAUUAUUCACCUUAUAGACUCAGCCAUAUAGUCACAUCAUAUUAAAAUAGACGUUAUAAGCUUCUGUCUCUCUUUCGUUUCACUUGAUUCCGACUUACGGAUCAAAAGUUAUGCUCAAAACAGUUUUCUCACUCUCCUAUCG
rnacentral:lncRNA from 1 species